AGGAGUGGUAGAGGAGCAUUGUUAGCGCAGCGAAGCUGUACCGAUAAGGAGCAGUGGAGUGCUAAGAAGAGAGAAUGCCGGAAUGAGUAGCGAGAGGAAGGUGAGAAUCCUUCCGGCCGAAUAUCCAAGGUUUCCAGAGUAAAGCUGAUCUGCUCUGGGUAAGUCGGGGCCUAAGGCGAGGUCGAAAGACGUAGUCGAUGGAUAACAGGUGGAGAUUCCUGUACUAUGUGUACCCAGAACUGUGGGGACGCAUGUGGAGAGCAUGAGCCGGGAAAGAGAAAACCGGUACAAGCGGGGUAGGAGUAAGGACAGCAAAUCUUCCUUACAAUCCGAAGACGUAAUGUGGACCGAACCAAAGUAGGGAAGCGUGUGAGCCAUGUGCCAAGAAAAGCCGCUAUAGUGAUACACAUACCCGUACCGUAAACCGACACAGGUGGAUGAGGAGAGAAUCCUAAGGCCGACGGAAGAAGCAUUGUUAAGGAACUCGGCAAAAUGACCCCGUAACUUCGGGAGAAGGGGUGCCCUGUGAAAGCAGGGCCGCAGAGAAUAGGCUCAAGCAACUGUUUAGCAAAAACACAGGUCUAUGCGAAACCGAAAGGUGAGGUAUAUGGGCUGACGCCUGCCCGGUGCUGGAAGGUUAAGAGGAGAAGUCAGGCAACGAAGCUUCGAAUUUAAGCCCCAGUAAACGGCGGCCGUAACUAUAACGGUCCUAAGGUAGCGAAAUUCCUUGUCGGGUAAGUUCCGACCCGCACGAAAGGCGUAAUGAUUUGAGCACUGUCUCGACAAUGCAUCCGGUGAAAUUGAAGUACCAGUGAAGAUGCUGGUUACCUGCGCCAGGACGGAAAGACCCCAUGGAGCUUUACUCCAGCUUGAUACUGGGAUUCGAUACUGUAUGUACAGGAUAGGUGGGAGACGUUGAGCAUAGAACGCCAGUUUUAUGUGAGUCGCUGUUGGGAUACCACCCUUGCAGUAUUGGAUUUCUAACCUGCACCCAUGACCUGGGUGGGGGACAAUGUCUGGCGGGGAGUUUGACUGGGGCGGUCGCCUCCGAAAGGGUAUCGGAGGCGCUCAAAGGUUCCCUCAGAAUGGUUGGAAACCAUUCGAAGAGUGCAAAGGCAGAAGGGAGCUUGACUGUGACACCGACGGGUGGAACAGGUACGAAAGUAGGACUUAGUGAUCCGGUGGUAUAAAGUGGGAUUGCCAUCGCUCAACGGAUAAAAGCUACCCUGGGGAUAACAGGCUUAUCACUCCCAAGAGUUCACAUCGACGGAGUGGUUUGGCACCUCGAUGUCGGCUCAUCGCAUCCUGGGGCUGUAGCAGGUCCCAAGGGUUGGGCUGUUCGCCCAUUAAAGCGGUACGCGAGCUGGGUUCAGAACGUCGUGAGACAGUUCGGUCCCUAUCCGGCGCAGGCGGAGGAUAUUUGAGAGGAGCUGUCCUUAGUACGAGAGGACCGGGAUGGACGGACCACUGGUGUAUCUGUUGGCUAUCGGAGCCAUGGCAGAGUAGCCAAGUCCGGCAGGGAUAAACGCUGAAGGCAUCUAAGCGUGAAGCCCCCCUCAAGAUGAGAUAUCCCUCAGAAAUGAGUAAGACCCCUUGAAGACUACGAGGUAGAUAGGAAUGAGGUGUAAGCACAGCAAUGUGUUCAGCUGACAUUUACUAAUCGGUCGAGGGCUUGACCAA
rnacentral:rRNA from 1 species